rnacentral:rRNA from 1 species
UACAGAGGGGGCAAGCGUUGUUCGGAAUUACUGGGCGUAAAGGGCGCGUAGGCGGCCUGCUAAGUCGAACGUGAAAUCCCUGGGCUCAACCCAGGAACUGCGUCCGAUACUGGUUGGCUUGAAUCCGGGAGAGGGAUGUGGAAUUCCAGGUGUAGCGGUGAAAUGCGUAGAUAUGUGGAGGAAUACCGAUGGCGAAGGCAGCCUCCUGGGAUAACACUGACGCUCAUGCACGAAAGCGUGGGGAGCAAACAGG